GACGAACGCUGGCGGCGUGCUUAACACAUGCAAGUCGAACGCUGAAGCUCAGCUUUUGUUGGGUGGAUGAGUGGCGAACGGGUGAGUAACACGUGAGUAACCUGCCUCCUUCUUUGGGAUAACGCCCGGAAACGGGUGCUAAUACUGGAUAUUCACUGGUCUUCGCAUGGGGGUUGGUGGAAAGGGUUUUUCUGGUGGGGGAUGGGCUCGCGGCCUAUCAGCUUGUUGGUGGGGUGAUGGCCUACCAAGGCUUUGACGGGUAGCCGGCCUGAGAGGGUGACCGGUCACAUUGGGACUGAGAUACGGCCCAGACUACUACGGGAGGCAGCAGUGGGGAAUAUUGCACAAUGGGCGAAAGCCUGAUGCAGCGACGCCGCGUGAGGGAUGGAGGCCUUCGGGUUGUGAACCUCUUUCGCUCAUGGUCAAGCCGCAACAAUGGUUGUGGUGAGGGUAGUGGGUAAAGAAGCGCCGGCUAACUACGUG
rnacentral:rRNA from 1 species